UUAGCGGCGGACGGGUGAGUAACACGUAGGCAACCUGCCCUCAAGACUGGGAUAACUACCGGAAACGGUAGCUAAUACCGGAUAAUUUCUUUCCUCUCCUGAMGAGAGAAUGAAAGGCGGAGCAAUCUGCCACUUGGGGAUGGGCCUGCGGCGCAUUAGCUAGUUGGUGGGGUAACGGCUCACCAAGGCGACGAUGCGUAGCCGACCUGAGAGGGUGAUCGGCCACACUGGGACUGAGACACGGCCCAGACUCCUACGGGAGGCAGCAGUAGGGAAUCUUCCGCAAUGGGCGAAAGCCUGACGGAGCAAUGCCGCGUGAGUGAUGAAGGUUUUCGGAUCGUAAAGCUCUGUUGCCAGGGAAGAACGUCCGGUAGAGUAACUGCUACGCGGAGUGACGGUACCUAGAAGAAAGCCCCG
rnacentral:rRNA from 1 species